UGGGGAAUAUUGGACAAUGGGCGAAAGCCUGAUCCAGCCAUGCCGCGUGUGUGAAGAAGGCCUUAUGGUUGUAAAGCACUUUAAGUGGGGAGGAAAAGCUUAUGGAUAACACCCAUAGGUUCUGACGUUACCCACAGAAUAAGCACCGGCUAACUCUGUGCCAGCAGCCGCGGUAAUACAGAGGGUGCAAGCGUUAAUCGGAAUUACUGGGCGUAAAGCGAGCGUAGGUGGUUUAUUAAGUCAGAUGUGAAAUCCCUGGGCUUAACCUAGGAACUGCAUCUGAUACUGAUAAACUAGAGUAGGCGAGAGGAAAGUAGAAUUCCAGGUGUAGCGGUGAAAUGCGUAGAGAUCUGGAGGAAUACCGAUGGCGAAGGCAGCUUUCUGGCAUCAUACUGACACUGAGGUUCGAAAGCGUGGGUAGCAAACAGGAUUAGAUACCCUGGUAGUCCACGCCGUAAACGAUGUCUACCAGUCGUUGGGUCUUUUAAAGGCUUAGUGACGCAGUUAACGCGAUAAGUAGACCGCCUGGGGAGUACGGCCGCAAGGUUG
rnacentral:rRNA from 1 species